CGAAAAGCUCAUUGGUGAUUUC
rnacentral:miRNA from 1 species